rnacentral:rRNA from 1 species
CUACGUGCCAGCAGCCGCGGUAAUACGUAGGGUGCGAGCGUUAAUCGGAAUUACUGGGCGUAAAGCGAGCGCAGACGGUUAUUUAAGCAGGAUGUGAAAUCCCCGGGCUUAACCUGGGAACUGCGUUCUGAACUGGAUAGCUAGAGUGUGUCAGAGGGGGGUAGAAUUCCACGUGUAGCAGUGAAAUGCGUAGAGAUGUGGAGGAAUACCGAUGGCGAAGGCAGCCCCCUGGGAUAACACUGACGUUCAUGCUCGAAAGCGUGGGUAGCAAACAGGAUUAGAUACCCUGGUAGUCCACGCCCUAAACGAUGUCGAUUAGCUGUUGGGCAACUUGAUUGCUUAGUAGCGUAGCUAACGCGUGAAAUCGACCGCCUGGGGAGUACGGUCGCAAGAUUAAAACUCAAAGGAAUUGACGGGGACCCGCACAAGCGGUGGAUGAUGUGGAUUAAUUCGAUGCAACGCGAAGAACCUUACCUGGUCUUGACAU